CGGGCGGAUUCCGAAAAGCCCCGACAGAGUAGGAC
rnacentral:ncRNA from 1 species